CAAUAGCCGCAAUUUAGUGCUAAGGUAGCAUAAUCACUUGUCUUUUAAAUAAAGACUAGAACAAAAGAUUUAACAUUUAAUUCUUUUUAUUUUAAUUAAUUUUUCAAAAUUAACCUAAAUGUAAAAAGGCACUUAUUUAAAAAUGAAAGACGACAAGACCCUAUUGAACUUAACUUAUGUUUAACUGGGGAAGUAAAUUAAUUAUUAUUUUAAUAUGAUUAAUAUAAUCAUUAUCUAAUUUCAUUAAAUAAUCCAGUUACCAUAGGGAUAACAGCGCAAUUACUUUUUAAAGUUCUUAUAUAAAAAAUAGAUUACGACCUCGAUGUUGAAUUAAUUACCUAAUUAAAGCAAAUUUUAAAUCAAAGGAAGUCUGUUCGACUUUUAAAUAAUUACAUGAUUUGAGUUCAGACCGGUGUAAGCCAGGUCGGUUUCUAUCUUCAAAAUACCAUUUAUACAGUACGAAAGGACCUAUAAAUAUAAUUUAAUUAUUAUAUUGGCAGAAUAAAUGCAUUAGAAUUAGAAUCUAAUUAAUCUCCAA
rnacentral:rRNA from 1 species